rnacentral:lncRNA from 1 species
ACCGUCGCCGGAAGUCUACGCGAAAGCGGCGGUGGAGCAGAUCGGAAUUGGAUCACGAUGCUCCCCAUUCUGGGCUCAUUCCCUUCAAUGGUUUCUCGCAGAACUUAUGCCGGAGAACCUUCUUGAUACUUGGCGUCUCUCUAUCGGCCUUCAUAGAAGAAGUAUGUCUUAAUUCGCUCGAUCAAUCAUGUUUUUAAAUAUUUUUAGCUAUAUAUUUUCCGGUUACCUUUUUUUACUAUAACGUUUUUCUCUUACUAUCUACAGUAACUAAGCAUACUAUCGACCAAAAAUAAACAUUAUGUAAAUUUAUUAAGACUUGAGAGCGUGCUAUAUUUUUUUUCGUUAAGACCUUUUAAGAUCCACAACAGGAACAUGAAAAUAAAUGAAACAUUUUUAUGGUUAAGUUUUUGCCAUUCAACACCAAUCCCUACAAGAAUGUAAAGACUCUUUUUGUUACCUGAUGUGAAAUGUUCACUGUCUCUUUUAAAACAAAACAGCAAUGCUGAAAACAUGUAACUAAUUUGUGCCUCCAAAUUUCCAAGAGAAUGAGUUUAUAAUUCAGAUCAGGAACAUAUCUUACGUGUAUUAGUAUAAUAUUAUUAAUUUGAAUCCAUUUACUCUAGAGGAGUAUUAUUUCACAUAACCAUUCAUAUAUUUUCAUUUAGCUCAAUAAGUCACUCUUUGUUGGGCCAUGAACCACUUAUUCUCCAAAUCAGUAUGUUCACUGCUACUAUAAUAAGGCUUCUAUCAUAAGUCAAUCGACGGUAACAUACCCACCAACAAUGAUCUACGGUCAGACUCUGAUCUUCGUGUCACUGCUUAUUGCGACUCCGAUUGGAAUACAUGUCCUAUCUCUCGACGGUCUGUCAGCGCAUACAUUGUUCAGCUCGGACAAUCUCCCAUUUCUUGGAAGACAAAGAAACAGAAGACGGUGUCUAUGUCCUCUGCUGAAGCUGAAUAUCGCGCCAUGGCAUUCACCUUGAAGGAACUCAAAUGGAUCAAACAACUACUUGCAGCUUUCGGAAUUCGCCAUGAUCAACCUAUGCGUCUCUUUUGCGACAGCAAAUCUGCCAUCUAUAUUGCCGCAAACCCUGUGUUUCAUGAGCGCACCAAACAUGUCGAAUCUGAUUGUCAUUUUGUUCGUGAUGCGGUCGUGGAAAAACUCAUCACAACUGAACAUAUCAAGACCAAGGAACAGCCAACAGACUUACUUACAAAAGCACUACCAUCAACUACAUUUGCUUAUCUUCUUUCCAAGUUGGAGAUUCACAAUCUUUCACCUCCAACUUGAGGGAGGGUGUAGAGAUAAGGACAUAACUUGUAGAUAAAGAUAACUAUGUAUUGUAGUUAUCUAAAUCCCCUAAGGGUUAGGAGAUCCUUCUUGUAUAUAUACAAUAUGACGUACAUCAAUAUACACGUACAUCAAUAUACACAACAGAUUACAUUUUAUUUUAAUAACUAAGAGUAUAUGAUAAAAUCAUAGGAAACCAAAGUGGUUAUCAUGAGGUAUAACUAAAAGACCGUUACUUAAAUUAGUUGCUUAGCGAUUAUAACUAAAGGUGUCUACAGAAAAUAUAAUUAAAUGAAAAAUUCUGCAAUUUUACGUUUACCAUUUUAUACUUUUUGAAGUAAAAUUCAGCAGUUUUUUCUAAUAUUGUUGAUAAGCUUUCUUUAAAAUCAUAUAUUAUAAUGUAAAACCGUAUGUUUUUAAAUCAAAAUAAAGUCUAUUUCUAUAUGUUUUGGUAUUAAAAAAUCUACUUUAUAAGGGAAACGACUACAAAAUUUGGUUUCUUUUCAAAUUACUGACUACAGCUAUAUUGGUGACUUGCAUAUAAUCCAGAUUAAGGUUAAUUUCAUUCCGGUCUUCAAUUUCUUGGUGGUCGUUGUAUCAUAAAUAUGGAACUACUCAGUCAUUAGUAUAUGGGGGACCUUGAUCAUCCAAAAUUGUCUAAUGACUCGACUCCAUUGAGGUCGAUGUAUACCUCCCCACCACCCAUGUUAAGAGAUACACGCAUUUAAUCUUAGGUAGAUGCUUAAAGUAAUUAAUGGAGAAUAACCACGCUAGAAAACUUAUUUUGAGAUUUAUUAAGAUGUAUAUAUUUUUGGGUAAAAUGUUAAUUUUGAGAUUUGUCUUAAACUCUUAUAUUAGUUCUGCACGUUAUGAUAAUGAAUAUUAAUAUUAUCAUGAAUGUUUAUGAAUAGUUUACUGAGAUUUUAGAUUAGGUAGAUAAAUGUAAUUAAGUGUUGAUUUAUAAUUCUUAAGCUUUCAAUUUAUAUUAAUCUUUUCUUAUUUGGUUUUUUAAUGCUAUAUUAUUCUAUGCUAGUUUAAUUAAAAAUAGUAUUUCAUAUCUGAAAAAUAUUUGAUGAAAUGCCUGAAUAAAUAUUAUAAGUAUUUUUGCAUUCUUAGCUAACCAAAAUUGCUGUUACAAAAAAAAAAGCUAACCAAAAUUGAUAAUUGAAGUGUAGGGACAAUAUGAAUUCAUGUUUAAUGCAGAAUAACUUGUCUUGAUUCAAUUAGCUUAAGGAAAUAUUUACAUUUUCAGUGUGUUGACUUUGAUCAUCUAGAAUUGAUUCUUAAUUAUUACGAUCACACAUCCUAAACAUAUGGUUGACUUAGCGUAGUUGAAGCUUUGAGCAUAUCAAACCUCAUUAUAACUAGAGUGUUAUUUGUAUAAAAUGAUAACUAAGUAAGUAACGCUUUUCCCUUGAUAGCAAUCAAAGUACAAUUGUCAUCCAAAAUUGAUAAAAAUGUAUUUGGUUAUUCGAAAAAGCUUGCUAAUUAAUAUGAAUAUCAUGUUAUUAAAUAUAAAAUGCCAACACGUGCUUCAAUGAAUUUUGUGAUGUUAUUUUUUCAUCAACUAGACAUGUAUAAACUAACGAAUAAGUGAAUCGGUGCAUGCAGUUAUGUUGAUAAAAUAUCAAGAUCUCUACAUGUGGAAUAUAAGCAGUUUGGUAUCCACGUCCAGUGCCAGGUACCUUUUCAUUUAUGUUUCUCUUCUCUUUGACUAAAUUUUAUACUUAAUGAUUUCGCACGUAAUGUGUAAGAAAAAAAAAUAAUCCUACUAGGCACGUACUUGUGUAAAAGUAAAACUAAUGUGGUAGGUGCCGUUAUACGUGGCAACGAGGAUGGUGUCAGUAGUAGCAGCUGUUGAUAAACCAAGCUUCUUUGUACCGUCGCCGGAAGUCUACGCGAAAGCGGCGGUGGAGCAGAUCGGAAUUGGAUCACGAUGCUCCCCAUUCUGGGCUCAUUCCCUUCAAUGGUUUCUCGCAGAACUUAUGCCGGAGAACCUUCUUGAUACUUGGCGUCUCUCUAUCGGCCUUCAUAGAAGAAGUAUGUCUUAAUUCGCUCGAUCAAUCAUGUUUUUAAAUAUUUUUAGCUAUAUAUUUUCCGGUUACCUUUUUUUACUAUAACGUUUUUCUCUUACUAUCUACAGUAACUAAGCAUACUAUCGACCAAAAAUAAACAUUAUGUAAAUUUAUUAAGACUUGAGAGCGUGCUAUAUUUUUUUUCGUUAAGACCUUUUAAGAUCCACAACAGGAACAUGAAAAUAAAUGAAACAUUUUUAUGGUUAAGUUUUUGCCAUUCAAC